rnacentral:rRNA from 1 species
CCCUUAGAUGUUCUGGGCCGCACGCGCGCUACACUGAUGCAUUCAACGAGUCUAAAACCUGCUCUGAUAGGGGUGGGUAAUCUUUUGAAUGUGCAGCGUGAUUGGGAUAGAUGAUUGCAAUUUUUCAUCUUCAACGAGGAAUGCCUAGUAAACGCAAGUCAUCAGCUUGCAUUGAUUACGUCCCUGCCCUUUGUACACACCGCCCGUCGCUCCUACCGAUUGAAUGAUCCGAUGAAUAUCAUGGAUUGAGGAUGCAAGUAGGUUCGCCUAUCUUCAUCUUCGAGAAGUGAAGUAAAUCUUAUCAUUUAGAGGAAGGAGAAGUCGUAACA